GAAUUAACCCACCUCCAACGCCCCAUCCGACGUAUGUGAGUAAUGCAAAACGGCUUGAGGCGCAUAUCAGGGUCUUUCAGUGGGAAUCAAUGAAAAACGCAUCAAUGGGAAUCAAUGUCUCCCUAAUUGUCAUUUAUAGAUCAAGAAGAAACGCAUCGAAGGAACUCAAUGUUGUUCCUUCAAAGAUGAAUCUAAAUUAUAAAACCACACACAGACAAUCUCAAUCCUAAAACCAGCGGAGUCAGUUUUUGAAGUUUUUAGGGUUUCUUUGUAGUCCAUUAUCUGGGCUUAUGGAAGCUGCUACUGUUGUUCUUUCUGAUGGGGAUGCCCGUGUCUUGCAUACCGUCGAUGUCAUCAUGUGGUGAGACUACUCUAUUACCUACUGAAAGUUUUUUCUUCGUUGUAAGUCACUCUUCAUUAAUCUAACCAUCCAUGGCAAAGUAAGUCUAACCAUUAGUAGUUACUCUUUUGAUUCAUGGAUUAGGAUCUCAAUGCAUUAUGACCAUUGCCCAAUGUUUUAUGGGUUUUUUUUCCUUUGAAAUCGUCUGUUCCUGUUACUCUACUCACUUCUAGGUUUACUGCUGUUGCCAUUUUGCAUAUAUCCAGGUCUGCCGUCUGCUUGGUACAUGAUAUUCGUAAUUAUCUGUUUGCCUAAAGUUGUUAGGGUUUCUUUGUAGUCCAUUAUCUGGGCUUAUGGAAGCUGCUACUGUUGUUCUUUCUAAUGGGGGAUGCCCGUGUCUUGCAUACCGUCGAUGUCAUCAUGUGGUGAGACUACUCUAUUACCUACUGAAAGCUUUUUCUUCGUUGUAAGUCACUCUUCAUUCAUCUAACCAUCCAUGGCAAAGUAAGUCUAACCAUUAGUAGUUACUCUUUUGAUUCAUGGAUUAGGAUCUCAAUGCAUUAUGACCAUUGCCCAAUGUUUUAUGGGUUUUUUUUCCUUUGAAACCGUCUGUUCCUCUUACUCUACGCACUUCUAGGUUUACUGUUGUUGCCAUUUUGCAUAUAUCCAGGUCUGCCGUCUGCUUGGUACAUGAUAUUCGUAAUUAUCUGUUUGCCUAAAGUUUUGCAAGAUUUUUGGAAAGCAUAUAUAGGUAUACUAUCAGUCAAGGAGCAUUUUUAUAUGAGGCAUUACUUAAUGAAGUUAUCUAUUAUUCGACAUCUUUCAUUCGGUAGUGCACCAACGAAACCUUUUAGAAUUCUAGCUUUCUCCGCUUCAUUGGAGGUCACCUCGCAUUUUUCUCCAUUUUAAAAAUAAGGUUUUAUGUCGUACUGGCGACCGUCCAUUUCACUCCAUGUUAAAAGAAAAAGGUUUUAUGUCUUUUUAUGUUUUCUUCCUAUCUUUAAAUCAAAUUAUUGUUUGGUAUACAGUGGGACGGGUUUCGAUGAACCUGACGACAGAUUCUCAAUGCACCCUUACAUUUGCUUUCAGGUAGUGCUUACUUGCUGCCUGUGGCAUUAGUUUGGGCUCGAAUAAUUCUUCGCCAUUUUUUAAAUCUAAAAAUAUUGAUUGCAAUGGAUUUCUCCUGAAUAAUUCCACAUUUUAUUAGAUUUCAGGGUAAGUAAAGCUGGGGGUUUUCUGAGAAAAUUGAAUCUAGUGAAUCCUAUUUGUGAGAUAUAAUCCAUUUUUAAUUCAUUUUGGUCUGCAGUUUAUGUCCUAACUUCUUAUUUAUGUUAUUCGGAUGAAUUUUUCUAAGGUACAAUAGUCAUAUGGGUCUCAAUUAAGUAGAGCAGCCAAGUCAAAAAUCCUUUGAAACGGACCAUCAUGAUAAUGAUUUAAGCGUUCAGUAGAAAUUGUUGUAUUUGGAGUCAAUGUAUACUUACCCUUAUGUAUAAAUGUUACUCUAUUAGAGUAUUAGGUUUCAAUAGCCAAUCAUUUUACCUGCCAAGGGUCAUGAACAGGUAAUGUUGACUGAGAACCCUUAUUUUAAUAUUAUUAGUAGUUUGUAGUCCCUCCGCGAGGAAUCAUAUAUUUGGGAGUACACUAUGAGAUAGUGCAACAUACAAAUGGCUCACCUGUAAGUGAGCAUCCUAGCCCUCAUUUUACAUGGUUUGUGUUUUAGUAGAAAUCAUAUCAUUGAGAUAGUUCUGAAACUUUGCAGAGUUUUGAAAGAGUCAUAGUUGAUGAACUCUUAACGUGAAUUUCUAGCUCUUCCUAUUGUAGAAAGUUAAUUUCUGUAACGAAUUUGCUCUCAAGUAAUUUUCUUACAUUUUUUCUCUUAUUCUGCAGGUAAACAACAACUUACUUUCAGUUGGCAAUGGGUCUUAGUUUAAUAUUUGCAAAACGGUCUCAUGGUCUGGCAAGAUUUUUUGACAUCAAAAAGCCCCAUUUGAUUCUUUAAAUUUGUUUUGUUUCAUUUAGGAUAUGUGGUUAAAUCUACUUCACGGAUGCUUCUACUUAUAAUUAUUCUGACUGAUGUUAUUUUUCAAUUUCAUAGCGAGCUUAACCAAAGCAUAAUAGAUCCUUAAAUCCUAAUGUCUAAAAGUGAUUCAUCCUUUCUGCAGCAUCCGCUUUACCUUUUUGUUAACAGUGUUCAGCUUUUAUGGAACCUUUUGAAUGCAGAUGUGGUGGUUUUUAUAAAACCAACACCAACAUCCAGCUUCUUCAUAAUCCCGGGGGUCCACAUUGAAGAUUUCCCUCUGGGUUCUGCUGCUAAACAGGUUGGUAAUGAUGCAAUCGAGGCCGACUCCAGUGUAGGCCCCAUAAUGGUAGUUGUAUCCACUUUUGUGAAUAACUAUCAAGGGAAAUAUCCUCCGGAAGUGAUACCAAAGUGUACCCCUAUAUACAAAUACCAGCUGUUGUAAGGUGUACGAACAGCUAUACCCUGUCAGUGAUGAAUUCGGAUCCCAGGGAGAUGAAGGAUGCCCAAGAGACAGGAGAAAGCAGUGGCGACAAUCCAAGUUGGAUUUGUACCGAUUAUAAAUAGCAAAGCUGACUUUUGGAUCACGCUCGAAUCCUACAAUCUCAAGCCACUGUUGAAACCUAGCUUUUCACAGUUACCACUAUCCGCCCCAUCUUGAUGCUCAGGCUGAAAACGACACCACACGGGUACUGAACUGCAAGGGUACUGAACUGUAGGUUUGUGCAAGAGUUUAAGAAGAGGACUGUGCUCCAAACAGAUUUUACUCUGAUAGUAACUACUAGGGAGAGGCACAUAAGAAGGGCUUCAAUCGUUGUGUAAUUAGGACAUCAGUAUAAAUUGAGAGAAAGUUAAUCUGUGGAUAGGUGUAUUAUGAAUUUUUCGGAGUGGGUCAUUCUGAUGAAAAGCCAAAAAUAUUUGGCAUCCUACAAGAUUUACGAUUAGUUGCAUGCAGUAGCCAAUGCUGUCAAGUUCAAUAAAACAUAGUUUUCUUUUCCUUU